UCGCUUCCUUCCCUUCUCUUCCCUUCGUCCCUCAGUCCCAUGCUCGUGGCGCUGAAGUGGCAUCGACAGGCGAAGGCGGCGAGGACAGCACAUGGCAGCCCCUGAAGCAUGAACACGACUGCACCUCGGGUCUGCCGUCUCCCAAGAUAUGGGUGAGUUCUCGUGAUGCCCACCCUAAACCCUCACGUCCUACAAAUUCCUCAACCUCUACCAUCUCGAUUUCGUCCAUGCUCUGAUCCAAAUGACGAUGCAGCUCCGGCCGACUGACAAUGGAGGUUUGCCAUCCUUCCUCUCAGCACCCACUCCUGGAGGAACGACACGCCAUGCCGAUCGAACCCGGUCGAGAUCACUCACCAAGAUUGCUAUUCGGAAGUUUUUUGUCAAAAAGUGAAGAGUGGGACGGGAUCUGCACUUUUGUUAAUACAACAUAUACUUGUGCAGGUGCAGGUUUUGUUUUAAAAAUCCAAUUUGUUUAUCCUUUUGUCGCUGAAAUUGUUUACUAAUUGUGUCAUUGGUUUUAUUUCUUCUAGAUGUUGUAUAUUCUUGGAUUGAAGGGACUGUCUGACAAGGUGAAAGAGCUAAUAGUUGUAGUUUUACACCAAUGCAAUUUUUUUUGCUUCAGUGUUAAACAUGACCUGCGACAGUUGCCGUCACUGUCGAUUAUUCGUACUCAGAUUAAGUUUCAGGCUCAGUCGUCUCUGUCGUCACUCGUCAGCGCACAGACGAUGGGUUGGUGCCAUACUAUCAUGUGGCAUCUCCGUCGUUCUGGGCCGGGAAGAUAACAGAUUUUCAGGAAACAAAUAAUACAUUUUACUAACUUCCUUAAAUUAUGCAAAUCAAUCGAUUCCUUUUAUUGGUUCAAUUUGUCUUAGGAAACAAAUAACAGAUUUUCAGGAAACAAAUAAUACAUUUUAAUCUAACUUUCCUAACUUA
rnacentral:lncRNA from 1 species